UACGUAGGUGGCAAGCGUUUGUCCGGAUUUACUGGGCGUAAAGAGCGCGCAGGCGGUCGAUCAAGUCGCGUGUGAAAGCCCCCCGGCUCAACUGGGGAGGGUCACGCGAUACUGAUCGACUCGAAGGCAGGAGAGGGUAGUGGAAUUCCCGGUGUAGUGGUGAAAUGCGUAGAUAUCGGGAGGAACACCAGUGGCGAAGGCGACUACCUGGCCUGUUCUUGACGCUGAGGCGGCGAAAGCUAGGGGAGCAAACGGG
rnacentral:rRNA from 1 species